rnacentral:rRNA from 1 species
UACGAAGGGAGCUAGCGUUGUUCGGAAUCACUGGGCGUAAAGCGCACGUAGGCGGAUGUGUCAGUCAGGGGUGAAAUCCCGGAGCUCAACUUCGGAACUGCCUUUGAUACAGCACGUCUUGAGUCCGGGAGAGGUGAGUGGAACUGCGAGUGUAGAGGUGAAAUUCGUAGAUAUUCGCAAGAACACCAGUGGCGAAGGCGGCUCACUGGCCCGGUACUGACGCUGAGGUGCGAAAGCGUGGGGAGCAAACAGG